UCUUUCGGCAUUGGGCGCAAAACCAAUAAAGUUCUUCGUGCAAUUUUCAGAAUGAUCUUAAACUGCUGACAAACUGCAAAAAUUGUUGCCCUUGCAAUAGUUAGAUUUGUGCUGUAGCACGAUUGCUCUUAUUACCAACGCUUAUUCAGUAUCAAAAUCUGAUUGUCUUGAUUUUUUCAAACCUGACAUGUUCUCUCAAAAGCACGAUUAUUUUUCGGUGGAGACCGAAGGUCCGGAUGGGCUCUUCUGUGAAGGAACGGUCAUCGAUGUUGACGACUUUGGUGUUCUACUAAUUGACCAGCACAUUCCCAAUACUCCACCCGUUUGGACACCCUACUGGCAAGCGUUCCAGCGUCAUAAUUAUGCAGAGGAGUUGUGGGCACUUCUCUCCCAUAAGCAGCUUUCUCUACCAACAAGCGUACUCGUCAAAACACAGCUGAGCAACGAUAGGCCCUGGGUAUGGCUUCCGGGUGAACUUCUGGCGUUUUACUUUAUUGCUGUUGUGAAGAUCGAUGUCUUUGGGGAGAAAAUUCAUGUUGUACCUUAUGAUCACGUUUGUUUGGCCAGCCAGAUGCGUAACCUAGUUAUGCCGAAUUUCCAUUAUAUCAAAAUGUGCUUUGAUCUUCCGCAGUUGUUUUCCUUCUGUACUACUGAAGAGUUCAUAGCAUUGUGGAAUAGACAUUUUCCCAUGGAUUCCUUCAAGAAAGGGAAAGCAGUUGCUUUUGUUGAUAACAGGGUGGUGUGUUUGGGAAAUAACGACUGGAUCAGAAACAUCAAAGAAAUAUUAUGGACUAGCGUAAGCCCUGUAAUCUCCGCGCAGCCGCGUCGGUCCUUAAAAAGCGUCAAUAACUAAUACUGUGACCUUUAGGAACAAUGUCAGUGAGACAGUAACUUGGCGUACACUCUUACAGUACUUGUUUCGAAAUAAACUUGGGAGUUAGAAGUGCAGUAAUGAUGUUUUUACAAUUAGGAUGACGGUCCGGAUCGAUUAAUUGAAAGCCUGAUGUGUACAUACCAACGAAAUAAAGAGCCCACACCACCAGCAUCUCCAGGUGUCCUGCUUGAAAGAAAUCCCGCGUUUUUGGAUGUGAAGGCCGAACCCAACUUUAUGAGGACCCACCACCUUACAACGUUAUAAAUACCUUGCCGGAUGCCCUGCUGGCCAGAAUCUUCGCGUUUUUUGACUUGCAGGAAUAGUCUCGAAUUCGUAAUGUGUGUCAGUUGUGGAGCAAACUGCUGCCACUUAAUAUGACCCUCAAACCGCAAUCCAUAUGGCUUCGCAUUAAUCAGCCGUCGGACGGAAAUCUUCAGUACAUUUUCGAGCUCGCAUCUUGUCUGAAUGAGCAUUAUACAGAUCGUGUUAAUACCAUUAUACUGUCUGGAGAUCUUUUGGACGGCGGUUUUCAUCGGAUAGCAGCAGCAUUGACAACUAUGCAGGCGGCCUUAAAGGACGACCCCCUCUGGCGCAACUGCAAGUGUCCGAUGUUGCGUUCCCUUAUUUCAGUAGAACUCGUCGAUUCCUUGCGAAUGGAUUUCACAAGUGUUUUGUGUCAGCAAACAAGCCAUGCAGGAAGCUCGUCUUCGACAAUGUAAUCAUGCCGCUGUUCUCUGAUUGCGAAAAAGAGCGGUUGGGUAAAUGGAGCGUCAGGAUACACGGUGUAGUCGAUGUGUCGGCUGCUGACUACGAGUGUCGGUUAUGGGAUCUGGUGGAAACGGCCAUAAAUGUGGAUGCAGAGCGACAGGAUAUUACAAAAUUGCACCAUUGGGUCCGGGUUGCGUACUUCUAUAGAGAAAACGGUUAUCCAUCCCGUUUCCGCUGCCUAGAAUCGAUAAUUAGGUUUUACCAAAAUAUGGAUCCACGCCCACUCGCUUGCCAUCUAUACCUCCCCGACGAUGCAACUCGUGUGCCUGAUGUACUUGACCAUCUACAUAGUCUCAACAAGCUCACCUUAUUCGCGAUGACGGCGUUGUCGGAAAUUAUGGAAUAAGACCAUAUAUACAAAUUUGAAACUGCCAUUGAUUCGUUUAGUAAUUUCUGGUGACCACGUGCACACGACAUGCCGGCCAAUAGGAUUAUAUGAACUGUCACUGCACUAAUGGAACCAUGCUCGCCGGGAACUUUUGUUUUUGUUUGGGUUUCCUUUUUAAUUUUGCAUUUUCAAUAGACUGUGGCGAAGUAUAAAAGCGGUUACCGUUCACUUCGGCCGUUUUCAUUUCGGCUUUCGGCUUUCAUUUCAUUUCGAUUUUGGCCAAACGUAACUUCGUCCAUGUUAAAUUUCGACUGACACACUUCCCUUAAUCCACUGUAUCAAGCGCUUGUCGGUUUUAAGAGUUUUAUUUUAAACCGUACAAUUACGUUGUCAACACCAUAUUUUAUUGUGCUAAGAAAAGCCGGUUAAAAAUGAUGUCAUGCAGCAUGAUGUCAUCAGUAGUAUGAUUCAGAAUUUGUGUCAAUGAUAUGAGCACUUCAGUAAAGAGCACAUAUGCAGAGGUUCAUUUUUGCUUAGCCUUACACGAUGAAUAAACCUAUCUGUUUUCUUAUCGAUUGGUGCAGUGCGUUUUCAUCGUUUGUCUACGAUUACUCAAGGAUAAUUAAAUUUUGCCGUGUUCGUAUUAAAGCGUUGGCAGUACACCCCAAUCCAUCAAAGCGUAUCUCUUCGACCAACAGAUUACGCUAGGAAGCAACAGGAAGCAAUACUGUGCAUAUCGGUUGGGGGUGGGCAGCAGUGCAGCAAUAAAUCAGCAGACAACGCCGGAAGUCUGGAUGAGCACGCCCGAAGUCUGACGCUCUGAUCCUUCGAGCACUCGUUUGACUGACAGGGAGAUUUUUGACUAAUCACGGAAACAGGAGUGACAACAUGCACCGUUUAUCUUCCGGAAGCAGCCCAGGUGGACGACGAUUGCCAUCAGUACGAUGUGGAAUGUCCUGCGAACAUAUUACCGCAACACUUCAGCACCAUGCCGGUCGACGUUCUGUACGACAUCUUCUCCAUGUUGGAUAUCUUUCAGCAAAUAAAGAUCCGUAAAGUCUGUCGAUUUUACAGCGCUUUUCUUCCACUAUGUGAAACUUUCCGGCACCGAUCGCUGUAUAUUCAUUUAAACGAAGCACGAUUUCCCCGUGAUACUGAGCAUGUGCGGGAGUUCGUACACUGUCUGAAUGACUACUACGGUGACCGAGUGGACACGGUUCUUUUAUCUGGUCAGCUCGAUGACAAUGUACUCACUGCGUUCAGCACCAUGAUAAUGGUUCUUAAGCGGUCACCCAUCAAAAGACUGAUUUUGUCAAAUGUCGACGUUCGUCUACGUGCACCAUCCACAGCGAUACAUGACUGGUUCCCUCAACGCUUCGUGAAGUUCGUGGGACAAAUGCAUUCGGCAUGCAGCAAGCUGAUUUUCCGACGAGUGACCUUUACUUUACUGUCUAAUAAUCAUCACGAGAGCAACGUGGAUAUGGAUAGCAAGGUUUUGCGAAUAGUUGGAGAAGUUGGGGUUUGCGCUCCUGCAGGGUACGAAAAGCGGCUUUUUGAGCUUGCAGAGGAUGCUAUAAAACAGUUCCAUAUGGAGCGUUCGAAGCAACCAAAUGCCGAUGACCAACGGGAAACAGCUGCAGCCGGAUAAUUGCUGUUCAUAAUUUUGCUUUGUUCUGAAGGCUAGCUGUGAUUUAAUGCGCCAAGCGGUGGCGGUGGCAGCAGUAAAUGAAUUAUGCAAUUUUUAAUAUAAUGAUAAUUAUUGUAAUAGCCCCGUCAUUACUCCCAUGUGAACUGUUUGUUGUAACUUCAGCAGAAAGCAGAAAUAAAAAGUUGAUA